rnacentral:lncRNA from 1 species
AGGCCAUGGGAGUGAGAAAGCUUGAGGAUUUGAGUGGCGGUGGACUUGACGGAGGAGAGGGAAACGGAGAGGGCGGCGGUGGCCAAAAGGCGGGGACUUGUUUGGAUGGCAUUGGCAUGGACUGAAAGAGAUGAAAAACAGAGACGAGGGUAAGUGGUGGAACUGCAAGAGCUUUUUAUGAACUCUGUGCUGCUUUGUGGAGUUAUGGCUGAAUGAAUCAGUGUUAAUUGGAGAAUUAAUUGGAAAAGAAUCAAACUUUUCUUGGAGUUUGAGAUACCCAUCUCUGUUUUUUUUUUUUUUUUUUUUUUUUAUGCAAAUGGAAGGAAUUUAGGAGGAAGGGGAAGUGAUGAAGAGAAAGGGGUGAAAUGGGUUUUGUAUUUAUAAGCAAAUGACCAUUGCAUUUACACAUAAAAGCUAAGUCUCAGAGACAAACUAGAGGUUUAGAGGACUUUGAGGCAAACAGAAAAAUAAGUUAUUAAAUUUGUAUAUUCUUAAAUCACCCAUUGACGUAAAAGUUUAAGAUGACUAGUAAAAAUACAUUUAAUAUUAUAUCUUACUUGUACGUUUGAAAUUUAAUAUUAUAUCUUACUUGUACGCUUGAAACAUGAAGAAACAUCAAACAAGUAGAAAUUAAUUUUAUUUGAGAAGAAAAUAUCAUUCAAACAGUUUGACAUAAGAUCUUUAUGCACCAUUCACUCUAGUAUUAUCUUAAAACACUAAUUGAUCAAAAGGCUUAAGGGUUUUUAUAUCGAUGACCCAUUGUUAAAUAUGUUUUAGUUUCGUAACCUUCCUCGAGUAAAUAAGAAUUAUAACCUUUCACUUACAUCACAUUUACUUUUUAAGAAGCACACAGUCGUACUUGUGAGCAUCAAUCCAAGCUGAUUAAAGAGGCACCUUGUGCCUGAGUUAACAUACCCUGAUGAAAAUUUUAAGUGCGCUGAACUUUCUCCCUCACACUCGUGAGUACCCAAUUAGGUUGAUUAAGACGCCCUAGUUUGAGUCUGAUUCAAUCAUAAAACUGCAAGGGGCAAGCAAGACUAAGUUUCUUUCCGUACAAAAAUCUAUAUGUUGUUAGGCUUGUUUAGAAAUUAUUUGUUUUUUUUUUCCAAUGAUUUUCAUCUAUCUCAGGUAAAAAAUAGUUGAAUUAUUAACCAAAUUUUAAUUUUUAAAAAUUCUUAAAAACUAAAAAUAUUUUGUUAGAUGAAAAUAAAUAUUAUAUUAUUAAUUUUAUCUUUAAGCUGAGAUUUUUGAGAAAAUUGUUUAAUUUAACAUAUUAUCAAAGCAAGUGAUGGUUGAGGUCCUAUGUUCGGUAGAAGAUGUGUUUAUAGGUUUAAUUUUGAAAAACAAAAAAUUAAGAUCCCAAUUGGUAAUUAUUUUGCUUUUGAAAAUUAAGCCUACAUAUCCUACUUACAUUUUCAAAUUUCUUGCUUUAUUUUCUACCUUUUACCAAUAGUUUAAAAACCAAGAAUAAAUUAUAAAAACUAAAAAUAUAUUCUAAAGAGGGAUGAAUCAUAAAAAAUAGAAAGGAAAAAACGCUUAAUUUUGAAAAACUAAAACAAAAAAUAAGAUGAUUAUGAAAAGAAGCCUCAUAAUUUGUAACUUUCUUCCCUAUAUACUUUAGUUGGAAUAACAGGAACCAAAUUUUUAUUUUUUUGUGAAUAACUUUCUUUUUGUUCUGUUCAUAACAAUUGUCCAAAUAUGUUAGUCAGGAGAGAUGGGAAGGUUGAGAAAGCGAGAGAAUAAUAAUAAUUUGGAUGACCGACAAAAAUAAAACCCAACAAUUAUAUAAUAAUAAUAAUUUUUUUAAAAAAAAAUUAACAUUUAAAAGACGUACUAUUGUUUUUAAAAUUUCACUUUGAAUAAAACUCUUAUAUUAAAAAAAAUAAAAUAAAAUAAAAAGUACAAGCCAUCCUGAGAAAUGAAAAGAAAAUAAGUAAAACUUUUCAAAAACUAAAUAACUACCCAAAGCCCAACGGAAGUUUAAAUAUAAUUCUAACUUAUAUAUUGCUUUCUCCUCAUUAUAUUUAUUGUUCAAUUACUGGUCUUUUUCAAAUUGUGUUGUCCAAGUCGACUUGCAAGUCCAUUUUGUACGGAAAUACUACAUUCAAUAUAUAAUAAGAAAAAAAUAAACUAUUUAUGAAUAUAAUUAAUUAUAGUUUUUUAUUAUUAAUGGUGAGAAAAAUAAAGAGGGAAUCGUAUGGGAGGAAGGAAAUGGGUGUUUUUGGUGAACCUCCUCAAACUUCUACUUGCAUGCAUUUCUCACUCUCUCUUACGCCUCACUAAUGCUCAAGUUUUCUUUUCUUUUACAAAAACAAACACUUCUCAGUCGUCAUUGUCAAUAACCAAACUGAUGUCUCACCGCUCAUAUCAAAUUUCAUUCAAUAAUAACUAAAUAAACCUUUACGUCCCACCACAUGUUUAAAUGCAAUUAAAUCCCCUUUAAUCAUUUUAAAUUAAAUAAACUUUCCCAAAAUUAACUUAUCUUCCUCUAUAUGCUAAUUGACACGACAAAAAAAAAUAUAAAUAUUUGAUCUAUCAUCCAUACACUUGAUUUAGUCAUCAAAUAAAAAUAAAAAUAUAUAGAUUGUUUUUUUUUUUGUCUCUUUAAUUUUUCUUGUUAGUAUACAUUAGAACUAUAAGCUAUAUUUAUUUUGACAAAAAAAAUUAAUUUAGUUCGAUAAAUAAUAACAAAAUCUCAUGGAUAUUAUUAAAAGAGAAUAUUUGAGAAUCCAAACUUUUUAAUAGUCAAUUUUGGGUUUAAAUGAAAGAACAAUGACAAUUCUUUUUGUUAAUUUUGGUGAGCCCCAAAUGAUUCGGAACCAAUCAACUUCUGAAGUUAAGGUUAACCAUUUCCAACAACGUUGUUUCUACUUUAUUUAAAAUAUCUCAAGUCUUCUUCGACAAGAGAUGCGAGCAUCAUUGUUUUGUUUCAAAUUUUUUUUUUUAGAUUUGAAAUUUAAGUCUAUUUACUCUUUAUUUUAUACAAUGAUUUGUAUCCUUUUUAAGUGUAAUGAUCGAAUUAUUCAUCAAAUUUCAACAAUAAAAGUAAAAAAUAAAAAAUAGUUAUUUUAUAUAUGCAAAUGUUGAAAUAAUUUGAAUUGAGCAUUUAGCAACAAAAUGAGGGGAAUGAAUGUGGGGGUGGUAAAAUGAUUUGGACAUUCUCUAAUCUCUACCAUAAUUUUCAAAUGUCAAUAUCUUAGUUAUUGCAAUCAAAAACAACAAUAUAUAUCACCUCUUUUCCAUACAUACUUUAGAUGUGAUCUUUUAUUUUCCUCUUUUCUUUUUUUCAAACUAGUCAGGGCCACCAACUUUUUAUUUCAAAUAAUUAUAUCACAUUUUUUAUUUAAAACAAUAACUUUUAAAAACCACAUCUUUUUUUAGAUAUUAUAUACUUAUUUUUUAAAAAAAAGCAAACAAAAGAUGCUUCAAGAACUUAAUUUCAAAGCUAAUUUUCUUUAAAGAAAAUAGAUUUAUUUUCAAAAACUUAAAGACUAAAUACUGAUAAAGUUGAAGAUCAAAAACAUUAAACUUUUCAAACUUAAGAACGAAACGCACGAAUUCAUCUUCAAAACUUGAAAACUAAGAAAGUUAUUGUAUUUCGAAACAUAAUUUUUUAAAAAGAUUUCAAUGCAUAUCCAUAAUCUUUAAGAGUUGUAUCCGUAUGAACUUCAAAUAUAAAUUAACCAUUAAACGAUUGUCAACCGUAGUUCACAUUGCAUUGUGUUUAACAAUGUUGAGAGUGAAAAUGCAAAAUUUAUAUGAUUUUUUCAAACAUCAUUUAAUUUAUAUGUUUUCAAAUCUAUUGGGGAGCUUCUGAUUUAGAUUAUUGGUACUUAAAAAUUUCUGUACGUAAUUAACCAAAUAUUUUGUGAAUUAAUUUCAAUCUUAAAAUCUUUUCUAUUCACGUCAAAGUACAAAAUCUGACAAUAAGAAAUUAGUAACAUAUUUUCUUCUUAAACAUUUAUCUAUAGUAUCUUUUGAUUAAGAAACAUAAUCAAUUGUGUAAGGAAGGAAAAAAGAAGUGAAUAAGGAAACAAUCUCCAUGAUUGUAUUCAAUGAUAUUUUAAUAAAACCCAAAGAACUACAGGAAAUUUUAUAUAUAAUUGAGAAAUAUAGAGCUAUUAUAUAUACAUGGACCGCAUCAGGUAGACCAAAAAAAAAAAAAUGCAACAAUAGACUAGAGAGUCUUUUAAAGAGAUGUGAAUGAUAGAAGAAAUUUCUUGUAGCGGUUGAAUUGGAAAAAUUAAAUGAGUUUUUGGAGGUGAUAUUUUGAUAUAUAUCAUGUUGAAUGGAAGUAUAAAAUUACUCGUAAAAGUCAAUACUAGUUGCUUCAAAAGUUUCUUCAUUCCAACAUCAUAAACCUCUUAAAAUCGAAAUUUAAAAUACGUCAAAUUAACAACAAUAAAGGUAAGUAGGAGACGAACAAUUUGGAUCGACUAUUAAAUGUAAGUAGGUGAGAGACUGAAAAUUGAAGGUAUUUUAGUAGACAACUCAAACUCGUAUCAACUUUUCAAUACCAAAUAUUACUUUUUGUAUUUUGUUUGAACAUUGAAAGUUGUGUGGAGUUAUAAUGAUAUUUUAGAGGGUGAGGAUGGAGGAAAAGAGUUACCAAAAUAUAACUAGAUUGCAUUUUUAUUUCUUAUGGGAUAGUUAAGAAUAGUUAUUCUACUUCCUAUAUAUAAAUUUUCCUUAUUGCUAUACUAGUUUUUUUUUUUUUUUUAAUAGUUGAAUUCUUUCACCCAAAUACAAGGUAUUUAUGGUCAUUUAAAAGUUGUUUGACUCACUUUAUUGAAUAUACAAUUUGUUGUUGUAUUUUUUUAGUAGAGUGUAUUUGUGAGAACCAAAAAGUUAUUUUAAGCACAAAAUAUUUGUGUUUUUUUUAGUUUUAAUACAUAUUUUUAUCGUUGUUAAUAUAGAAUCUCAUGGGUAGGAAUUUGAUUUUUCAUUUUUUCUUAAUAAAUAGUUAAAUUUAAAAAUAUUUUUUAAUAAUAGUGAAAUCCUACGAAAGGUUGGUUAUCUUUGUUCUUUUCUACUAUAAUAUAACCUCUUUUGUAAAAAUUGAUAUGUGAUUCUUGCUGAUUAUGUUAUUCAUUUAAUGAAGGAGAUUUUAAAAAAUACAACAAACCUACCGGAACAAUUUUAAAAACGAAAAAGCUCUAAAUAUAUUAAAGUAUGUACCAACAUAAUUGUACAUACUUUAAAUAGAUUUGGCUACCCAAAUCUAAACUGUAUCAAUACAUCUUGUUGGAAGGGGCUGACAAGUAUAGUUACCACUAAACUGUUUAUAAAUAUUAAGUAUAAAUUUGUUUUGUUUAUACAUAUUAUAUAAAGACAAUAAAAUUGAGGGGGUUCGAGCCCCUGAGCCUAUACUAAAUUCGCCGGUGAAUACAAAACUAAGUAUGUAUGUGAAGUUUAUUUGAUAUAUACACACAACACUGUAUAUAUAGACUAGCACGGAGGAAAUAUUAAUUUUUUAAAAAAAUAAGAAAAAGGAGAUAAUUUUAAAAAGAUUUUAAAAAGAUAACCUAAUAAUUAAUAAUAAUUUAGAAAAAACCUGAAAAAGGAAAAGAAAAAGUAGAGAAAGUGUAUUUUAAAAAUAUUAUUAUAAUUAAACUAAAGAUUAUUUGGAAUGACUCAAAUAAAUAUUUUUAAAAAAAUCAUUUUUAUUUAAACGCUUUUGAUAAAAACUUAUAAAUUAUUUUUAUAUAUAAGUUUCUUUUAUUUGUUAUAUGUACUAAAAAUAUUUUUAUUAAAAAAUUUUAAAGUUGAGCAGUGGCGACAGUCGCUAGAGUUGGUUGUUGGAAGUUUGUCAGUAGAGUCACCAAAGGUGAUAGUCGGAGUAUGACCAAGACGACUAUUAUCGAAGAUUGACCUAAUUAAACCGUAAAAAUGUUAUUAUUAAAAGUUUGCAAGGUUGAUCGAUAGCGACCAAAGAUGUUUAGUUGGUUGAUGAACUUUCCAACCCUUGGAACAAAUAUCUCUAGGGUUGAAGAAUAGCAAGACAUAUAAGUAAUUUUAAAUUCUAAUUCUAAUAUUCAACUAAAACUAAACAUUGUCCCAAAUAUUGAGCAAACUAUUAUAGCAUAUGCUCCACUUCUAGCCCCAAACAUGUCUUUGAUGGUUAGGAUUUCAAUCUUAUAUUAUUUGAAUUAGUUAGGGGUAUUUUGGUCCAUUGUUAAUUCACAAUUAAUAAUUUUAGAAUUCAUUUUGUUGUUUUUAUAAUUUUUUUUUGUUUUUUCUAAGUGAAAUAUUUUGUUUUGUAAUUUCUCUUCUUAGUUGGCCAAAUAAUAUAUUCAUUAACUCUAAUUUUGGGAUAGUUGCAAAUAUAUAACAAAAUAUUUAAAUAAAUUGUAAAUAUAACAAAAUAUGUCAAAAACUAUCAAUGACAGAAGUGUAUCGCCGAUAGAUCAUGCUGAAAAUAUUAGUCUAUCGACAAUAGACCAUAAAAAUAUAUCAAUAAUAAAAACUUUUAUCGCUUCUAUCGUUGAUAGACCAUAAGAAUCUAUCAACGACAGAAAUGUAUCACGGAUAGAAUUUGCUAUAAUAUUUUUAGUUCUUUUUUUAAUAUUGUUAUAUAUUGAAUUAUUAUUAUAAACAUGGUUACAUGGAUAAUUAUAAUAUAUGAUAAUUUUAUGAAUAAUAAUUAAGCAUAUGUAAUAACAUUUUGACUCUUAUGGCCUAUUAGUGAUACACUUUGUUCUAUUUGUAAUUUUUAAAAUAUUACUAUAUAUAUAUAUAUAUAUAUAUACUUAAUUAUUGUAUGCAACAAUCGAGAGCCCAACCCUGUGUUAUCUAAUUAGGUUGAUAAGCUAAGCCCAAUCCGUAGCACAACCGUCAGCCCAAUUUAAAAAUAGAAAACUAAAACCUCACGCUCACGCCUCCCACUCCUCUCCAGUUUUAAACUUGGGUGAACUUUUAUGUUCUCUUUUCCUUCUCACCCUCAUUCUUUUUCCUUUUCUACAGUUCUUUAACUUUACCAUCCCCUUCCCACUCUGCUCAUCAUAAUUUAUUCAAACAACUAUCUUUGAUAUAUCAGUUAAAACUUUAAAACGGUGAUUGUUGUGGCAUAACGCCAAAGCCACAACCGGUGGAGGUACUUUUUUCUUUUAUUGAGGGAUAGCAAAACUUUGACGAAAAAAUAAAACGGGUUUAAAAAGGCGCUAUACUGUGAGGACUGUCGAUUUUAGAUGAUUCAUCUUUAAAUCGAGGGUUUCUGUUGAUCUUUGGCUUGUCCACAACCUAACCCAACCCAAACGUACAAACCUUUAAAUUCCUUCUCUACUUUACCUUAAUAAUUAUAAUAACCCGUGAAAAGUAUUACAAAAAUAUUAUAUUUUAUUUGCUUUUACUCUAUUUUUCUAAAUAUAUAUUUUUGUAGGGUAAAAUGCACUUCUGAGUAGAUGCUGACAUGGAUGAGUUAGCAUUUUAUUUAUUUGAUGAUGUGGUGAAUAAACUUAAAAAAGUAAACCUUCUCAAAUUAUAGUGACAUUUCAAAACAUUUUAGAUCUCUCUAGUUAUUUGGAACCUAAUUCAUCUCUUUGGACUACUAUUGAAUCGAAAAAUAGGUUUGAUUCUCCAUCUUUUUUAUAUAAUAGUAAGGCCUCCUUCAGAUAAUUCAAAUUGAAGCAAUUAGAUGUCCAACUCAGACUUGAUAGUCAAAUAUUCACGACCCACAUCCACUUCAAGAGGUGUCGUGGUCUCUAACAGAAGGCAAGUCAACAAUGAACAAUUAUAAAAUACUAGUGUAGAGAGAGGUGUGCAGUAAGAAUGAACCAUGGGCAAAGAAGAAGAUUUUUCACUAUUUUAAGUAUAUUAUAUUUUACUUGCAGGUUUAACUUUUAAGUUAAUUUGUCCACCUAAUAAAAUAAAAUGACAUGUCAAUCUAAUCAAGUCAUGAUUUGAUAACCAUUUCGUUAGGGUAAAGUUAACUAUGUGACCAUUUAGUAUCAUUUUGAAAAUCUUAAAAAGACAAAUUUUAUUUUAAAACUUUAUAGACUAAAUAGACAUCGAAUCUAAAUUAAUUUUUGAUGGUUGUCUACGUAAAAACCAUCUCCCCACAAAUCCUAAUAACUUCAAUAAAAUUAUACAUACUCCAUGGAAUUAAUAAUGCAAAAAUAACUCCAACCUCCACACGUAAACCCUACUUAAACCUAUAUAUUACCAAGUAUAAAAUACCAUGACAAAAACUCCACCAUCUAACCUAAAUAUCAUACUUACACUUCCACCUUUCAAAUCUCACACACCAACAACGUAUAGUACACACUAAUCACCUACCAUCGUCAAAUUUGAGUCUUUUUCCUCAAUCAAAGACAGGUGGUGCACUUCAAGAUACAGCUAAUGCAAAUCAGCUAUCCGAUUAAUCAAAGACAGAGCAUUACUAGUCAACUGCGCAAUGUUGACAAUCUUAGUCCUAACCUCAGCCUUAACGCCUCCGUUCACCGUCUUCCCCUGAAACCCUUCGCUACAUGUGGUUUCAUCCGUCAGAGCGGCGCUAACCCAUGUCUGAACAUUACUCAUUGCGAGGUCGAAAUUGGUUCCACGGAGCUUCGGCAUCUCGGAAAUGGAAGCAGCGAGGGAGUCGACAGAGUCACUCAGUUCUUCCAAACAGUCGUUAAGAGCAGAAACAUCUCUGGAGGGGAGGCCAUGGGAGUGAGAAAGCUUGAGGAUUUGAGUGGCGGUGGACUUGACGGAGGAGAGGGAAACGGAGAGGGCGGCGGUGGCCAAAAGGCGGGGACUUGUUUGGAUGGCAUUGGCAUGGACUGAAAGAGAUGAAAAACAGAGACGAGGGUAAGUGGUGGAACUGCAAGAGCUUUUUAUGAACUCUGUGCUGCUUUGUGGAGUUAUGGCUGAAUGGAUUAGUGUUAAUUGGAGAAUUAGUUGGAAAAGAAUCAAAGUUUUCUUGGAGUUUGAGAUACCCAUCUCUGUUUUCUUUGUGUUCUUAAAUGUAAAUGGAAGGAAUUUAGAAAGAAG